GAGCGAAUGAUGAGAGCUUGCUCUCAUCAUUUAGCGGCGGACGGGUGAGUAACACGUGGGCAACCUGCCUGUAAGACUGGGAUAACUUCGGGAAACCGGAGCUAAUACCGGAUAAUUCUUUUCUACACAUGUAGAAAAGCUGAAAGAUGGCUUCGGCUAUCACUUACAGAUGGGCCCGCGGCGCAUUAGCUAGUUGGUGAGGUAACGGCUCACCAAGGCCACGAUGCGUAGCCGACCUGAGAGGGUGAUCGGCCACACUGGGACUGAGACACGGCCCAGACUCCUACGGGAGGCAGCAGUAGGGAAUCUUCCGCAAUGGACGAAAGUCUGACGGAGCAACGCCGCGUGAGUGAUGAAGGUUUUCGGAUCGUAAAACUCUGUUGUUAGGGAAGAACAAGUACCGUUCGAAUAGGGCGGUACCUUGACGGUACCUAACCAGAAAGCCACGGCUAACUACGUGCCAGCAGCCGCGGUAAUACGUAGGUGGCAAGCGUUGUCCGGAAUUAUUGGGCGUAAAGCGCGCGCAGGUGGUUCCUUAAGUCUGAUGUGAAAGCCCACGGCUCAACCGUGGAGGGUCAUUGGAAACUGGGGAACUUGAGUGCAGAAGAGGAAAGUGGAAUUCCACGUGUAGCGGUGAAAUGCGUAGAGAUGUGGAGGAACACCAGUGGCGAAGGCGACUUUCUGGUCUGUAACUGACACUGAGGCGCGAAAGCGU
rnacentral:rRNA from 1 species